rnacentral:rRNA from 1 species
GAUCCUGGCUCAGAUUGAACGCUGGCGGCAGGCCUAACACAUGCAAGCCGAACAGUAACAGAAAGCAGCUUGCUGCUUUGCUGACGAGUGGCGGACGGGUGAGUAAUGUCUGGGAAACUGCCCGAUGGAGGGGGAUAACUACUGGAAACGGUAGCUAAUACCGCAUAACGUCGCAAGACCAAAGAGGGGGACCUUCGGGCCUCUUGCCAUCGGAUGUGCCCAGAUGGGAUUAGCUAGUAGGG